UCCGGCGUGGUGUAACUGGCAGCACAGGGGCUUUUGGUGCCUCUAGACAGGGUUCGAAUCCUUGCGCCGGAG
rnacentral:tRNA from 1 species